UGGAUGACAUCCCAAUACUGAGUUUCCUGGAUAUUAUAGGUUGGAGGAGUAAAUCAAUUACUCUCUGAAUCUAUUGAGAUGCUAAUGGUAUUAAAAAUCAGUUGUGAGCAUGACAAAUCUAUUUUUCCUUUGUAUGUCCCCAAUUACAAGAUCAUUCUCACUUUAUGGGCUCCUUGUGCAGUAUCUAUAAUGCAUAACCUGUAUUCUUUCUAUAUCAAUUGUGGUAUGAGCUUUCAUGGUAUUCUUUGAUAUUGGAUAUUUGUCAAAGAAACUUACAGUUAUAUUGUAAAUGUAUACAAGCAGCAUAAACUGUCAUGAUUUUCUUGAUGCUGUAUUGAUUUGUGUAUUUGAUGUUGGUUAAGAUGGAGGAAAAAGUUAAAGAAAUUGUUGACAUUAAGCAACGCAAUCUGGCUGAAGAGAACCAGAAAACAAUGGAGGUUCUAAAAGAAUGGUACCAUGUUCACUGUAACUUGCAAGGGCAUUUUACUUUUAUGGUGGUUUCUCAGUGUUAAGAAGAGUAUGCACAUUAUUUCCCCCAGAAAAGGUGGAAGAAAAGAUACCAUGUUACUAGGCGGACAUUAUUUCUUUAUCCCAGUUUGGAAAUAACAUUUUUUGUCCUUGCAAUGAGGCAGAGAACGGAUGUUGCAAGAUCAGUUACGGUAAGCUCAAGAAAGUGUUUCCACUAGGCGGAAACUGCAUGAAUUUGCACAAAGCCAGUUGUUUGAGCUUCGUGCCCAAUCAGAGGAGGAGAGAGCUUCAAAACAAUCAGAAGUUAAUCUUUUAAUGGAUGAAGUCGAACAAGCUCAAACUCGUCUUCUUAGUCUCGAAAGAGAGAAGGUGAAACAACUUUUUAUCUUGAAGAUUUCUCCAUGGCGGAAUUAGUUAAUGCUAUUAGCCUGCUAACAUUGUUGAAACAUAUAGGAGGUUGUCCACUGCGUAUAAAUUUGGAUGUGCUUUGAAAGUAUCUCAUGUGUCUGAUCCUGUGAGGAUGUGUAGAGUUUGCCUUUAGCCAUGCACAAGUCAGGUUUUUAAUUGGAGUUCGGUGGGUGUCUCUUAGUUGUAUACUGACAAGAUUCAUAUGCUUCUCC